AAUGAACGUUGGCGGCGUGGAUUAGGCAUGCAAGUCGUGCGGUAAGGCCCCUUCGGGGGUACACGAGCGGCGAAAGGGAGAGUAACGCGUGGGUAUCUACCCUUGGGUCCGGAAUAGCGUCGGGAAACUGGCGGUAAUGCCGGAUAAUAUCUCAGGAUCAAAGGUGUGAUUCCGCCUGAGGCUGAGCCCGCGUCCUAUUAUGCUUGAUGGUGGGGUAAUGGCCUACCAUGGCUUUGAUGGGUACCGGGUGUGAGAGCAUGGCCCGGCUCACUGGGACUGAGACACUGCCCAGACACCUACGGGUGGCUGCAGUCGAGAAUCUUCGGCAAUGGACGCAAGUCUGACCGAGCGACGCCGCGUGCGGGACGGAGGCCUUCGGGUUGUAAACCGCUGUCAGUUAGGAGGAAGGUUCCGU
rnacentral:rRNA from 1 species